GGUAGUGUAGUUAACACCUGCAUUAUUUGACGUUACCUACACGAAGAAGACACCGGCUAACUCCGUGCCAGCAGCCGCGGUAAUACGGAGGGUGCGAGCGUUAAUCGGAAUUACUGGGCGUAAAGCGCAUGCAGGCGGCCUGUUAAGUCAGAUGUGAAAGCCCGGGGCGUUAACCUCGGAAUUGCAUUUGAAACUGGCAGGCUAGAGUCUUGUAGAGGGGGGUAGGAAGUUUCAGGUGUAGCGGUGAAAUGCGUAGAGAUCUGAAGGAAUACCAGUGGCGAAGGCGGCCCCCUGGACAAAGACUGACGCUCAGAUGCGAAAGCGUGGGGAGCAAACAGGAUUAGAUACCCCUGGUAG
rnacentral:rRNA from 1 species